GUUGGCGUAGUUACCUUUCGAAGAUACAUAGGAGACAGAGGUGCAGAGAUGCUAAUAAAUGAAGAACUGGAUUUGAACCCUGGCAGCAGACCUCUAUACAGCCUCUUCUGUUAUCCCCUUUACCAUAUAUCUUCUCUGUAUUUUCAGCAUCAUCCACAUAUACAGGGAGAAUGCCAUGAAAUUUGUUGAAGAUUGUGCCAUGCACCAUUCAGUGACACAACUUGAGCUUUCUCCAAGACUUCUGGAAAUGACAAAAACAAUCAGGGUUGAAAACCUGCCGCCUGCUCCUAUAGUUUGAAAUGUUUAUUUGAAAAUCCUCAAAGUGGAGGGGGAAGAGUUGUCAGUAUUGAAUGUUUUCCUGAAGAGAGUUCAGCUCUGAUAGAAUUUUUUAACAGAAAAGUGUUAGACACCAUCAUGUCCAAGAAGCUUGGCCUCAAUAAUAUGCCGCUCUCGGUGUUCCCAUACUAUACCUCCUUGGGCACAGCUUUGUAUGGAAAGGAGAAGCCUCUGAUCAAGCUUCCAGCACCAUUUAAAGAAUCUUUGGAUCAUUCUUUGUGGAAGUUCUUACACAAAAGGAAUCAUCUGAUUGAGGAGAUAAAUGAAGAAGUGAGACGUUCUCACUGUGAGCUAACAUGGUCCCCACUCAAUGGUGAAGUUACCAUCAGACCUGCAGCCACCUUAGUCAAUCAAGGAAGAAAAAGAAUCAAGAACUGGAAGAAAGAUGCUUCCACAGCCUUCUUUGGCAUCAGGUCUAGAUUUAAAGUUACCCCAUUUAAAGUGGACCCAGUAGUGUGGGACAUCAUGAAAAAUGACUUAGAAGAUGAAAGAAUUUUGAUUGAGUUUG